UGAACGCUAGCUACAGGCUUAACACAUGCAAGUCGAGGGGCAUCGAUGGGAGUCGCUUGCGGCUCCUGAUGGCGACCGGCGCACGGGUGAGUAACGCGUAUCCAACCGUGCCCCGCGGUAGGGAACAGCCCGUAGAAAUGCGGAUUAAUGCCCUAUGCUCGUCCGUUGAUGACAUCAGAGACGGAGUAAAGAUUUAUCGCCUCGGGAUGGGGAUGCGUCCGAUUAGGCAGGCGGCGGGUAACGGCCCACCGCGCCUUCGAUCGGUAGGGGUUCUGAGAGGAAGGUCCCCCACACUGGUACUGAGACACGGACCAGACUCCUACGGGAGGCAGCAGUGAGGAAUAUUGGUCAAUGGGCGUGAGCCUGAACCAGCCAAGUAGCGUGCCAGGAUGACGGCCCUACGGGUUGUAAACUGCUUUUAUGCGGGGAUAAACGGCGCCACGCGUGGCGCUUUGCAGGUACCGCAUGAAUAAGGACCGGCUAAUUCCGUGCCAGCAGCGGC
rnacentral:rRNA from 1 species